UGGCUCAGGAUGAACGCUGGCGGCGUGUUAAUACAUGCAAGUCGAGCGAACUGAUUAGAAGCUUGCUUCUAUGACGUUAGCGGCGGACGGGUGAGUAACACGUGGGCAACCUGCCUGUAAGACUGGGAUAACUUCGGGAAACCGAAGCUAAUACCGGAUAGGAUCUUCUCCUUCAUGGGAGAUGAUUGAAAGAUGGUUUCGGCUAUCACUUACAGAUGGGCCCGCGGUGCAUUAGCUAGUUGGUGAGGUAACGGCUCACCAAGGCAACGAUGCAUAGCCGACCUGAGAGGGUGAUCGGCCACACUGGGACUGAGAUACGGCCCAGACUCCUACGGGAGGCAGCAGUAGGGAAUCUUCCGCAAUGGACGAAAGUCUGACGGAGCAACGCCGCGUGAGUGAUGAAGGCUUUCGGGUCGUAAAACUCUGUUGUUAGGGAAGAACAAGUACGAGAGUAACUGCUCGUACCUUGACGGUACCUAACCAGAAAGCCACGGCUAACUACGUGCCAGCAGCCGCGGUAAUACGUAGGUGGCAAGCGUUAUCCGGAAUUAUUGGGCGUAAAGCGCGCGCAGGCGGUUUCUUAAGUCUGGUGUGAAAGCCCACGGCUCAACCGUGGAGGGUCAUUGGAAACUGGGGAACUUGAGUGCAGAAGAGAAAAGCGGAAUUCCACGUGUAGCGGUGAAAUGCGUAGAGAUGUGGAGGAACACCAGUGGCGAAGGCGGCUUUUUGGUCUGUAACUGACGCUGAGGCGCGAAAGCGUGGGGAGCAAACAGGAUUGGAUACCCUGGUAGUCCACGCCGUAAACGAUGAGUGCUAAGUGUUAGAGGGUUUCCGCCCUUUAGUGCUGCAGCUAACGCAUUAAGCACU
rnacentral:rRNA from 1 species